rnacentral:rRNA from 1 species
GUAGGGGGCAAGCGUUGUCCGGAUUUAUUGGGCGUAAAGAGCUCGUAGGCGGCUAUUCACGUCGGAUGUGUAAGCUCAAGGCUCAACCUUGAGAGGCCAUUCGAUACGGGAUAGCUAGAGGUAGGUAGGGGAGAUCGGAAUUCCUGGUGUAGCGGUGAAAUGCGCAGAUAUCAGGAGGAACACCGAUGGCGAAGGCAGAUCUCUGGGCCUUACCUGACGCUGAGGAGCGAAAGCUGGGGGAGCGAACAGGAUUAGAUACCCUGGUAGUCCCAGCCGUAAACGUUGAGUGCUAGGUGUGGGGCGGUCUUCAACCCGCUCUGUGCCGCAGCUAACGCAUUAAGCACUCCGCCUGGGGAGUACGGUCGCAAGACUA